AAAAGAUGGUGAACAGUAUAAAUGGAGACGUGUGUGCGCAGUAGUCUGCAGCCGGUGCGGUCAGUGAGGUUGAGCUGCCCUGAGUUUCCUACCCUGCUCUGAGAAAGUCAGUGUGUAUGUGUAUGUGUGUGUGUGUGAGAGAGAGAAAAUCUAUCCUUGCAUAUUUGCGUGUGUAUUUCUAUCUGCGAGUGUAGAGGGAGUGAACACGUGUCAGUAUUCAUUUACAUUCUUACAGAAGCGAAUCCUUGAUGUGUAAUAUAGCAACAUGAAAUGGACCGUGUUUGUAGCCAGUGUCUGUGUGCACGCGCAUGGGAAAUUGAGACUGUGUGUAGGUUUGGGGUUAGACACGGGACGAGUGAAACACCCAGGCUCUCCUCUGGGACCGAUUCACUUUCUCCUGCUGCCAGGCGGAUUAUGUCAUCACUGCCCACCGUAUUAGAAGAGCCCUGUGAUGUCAUACCAAGAGGUUAUCCACCGUUGACGCUCCCGUUUUGUCUCUCUCGUUGGAUGUCUAAACAUCACCCGUUCAGAUGUCUCUUUUACCUCUCCCUACAUCUCUCAUCUAGCUUCCCUCACUCCACCCUAACCUUUGCUCUGCAUUUCUCUCCCCACCUUUCCUUGCCCCUCCCUCCGUUUUAUAUUUGCUCUCUUUCAGGUCUGCCUUCCAUGGGAGUCUCCACUCUGGUCUCAGGUUUAAGGGUCUCGUCCAAAACGCACACCACACCCCGACUCGCCGCUCAAGCCCUUUGGCCAUCCCGCCUCAUCUGUUCUCCGCGCUCCUCUCAUACCCUCGUCUCUCCUCCGUUCUGGGCCUGGGCAGCGGCGGAGGGGUCAGCGGUGCUGCGGGUUGGGGCUGUGUUCCGACAGACCUGCUUUUUCUGUCGUGCUUUUGUUCCGUUCUGCGUCAUCGUGUUGACUGAGUGGACCCCACACUUACCAGGCAGUUGCGCGCCCAGCCUCGGCCUAACACUGAGCCAUGUUAGCGGCUGUAAUCUGAUGGCGGUGUUUA
ensembl:lncRNA